UUGCAUGCUUAUGUAACUAGUUCAGACAUCUGUUUUUGUUAAGAGAGAAAAAUAUAAAUUUAAACACUUCAUUAAAUAAGGUGUUCUACUCUUGAUGGUAACUCUGAUGUUGAUCGGUACAAAGAGUAAAAGUGGUAUCAUGAAGACUUCACUAUACAUUUAUUAACUUCUUUUGGUAAACUCAAUCCCCACUGACAGCAAUGAGGAUUUAGGAGCCCAGUCGAGGCAGUGAGUGAAUAAGCUAUCCAAGUUUAUUUGCAAAAUCAUCUCACUGGGAAGUAAGAACCUCUGUAACCCUUAAGGGUGAAAUAAGAUAAGAAGCUACUGACAGAAGGAAAGGAGGCCGGGAUAAAUCUGGAAUGAUCAGUAAACUAUUUUCUGACGUGACUUUGGAUGAAGUGCCUAUAAAUUUGCUGCUUCUAGAAAAAUUACAGAAGGGACCUGGAUAAUAAAUGCCGAA
rnacentral:lncRNA from 10 species